GGCUUCCGCUGGGACUAGGAUCAGGAUGUGCACCUCCCCAACCUGGACCGUCUGGCCGGGGAGGGCGUCAAGGCCAAGUACCUCAUGCCACCCUUUCUCACGAUGACCUCCCCGUCCCACUUCACUGCCAUCCUGGUCUUAGCAAACGACACAACAGGAGAUUAUAUCCCUUGCCUGGCUCAGAGGGUCCUACGCCCACAGAGCCUCACUCGUUGCUAGCACAGCAGUCUGAGAUCAAACUGCAAGGUGGCAGCAAGGCUGCGGGAGGGGCGCCCACCAUUGCCUAGUCUUCAGUAGGUAAACAUAGCAGCUGGGAAGCUCGAACUGGGUGGAGCCCAUCGCAGCUCAAGGAGGCCUGCCUGCCUCUGUACACUCCACCUCUGGGGGCAGGGCAUUGCCAAACAAAAGGCAGCAGAAUCCUCUGCAGACUUAAAUGUCCCUGUCUGACAGCUUUGAAGAGAUUAGUGGUUCUCCCAGCACACAGCUGGAGAUCUAAGAACGGACAGACUGCCUCCUCAAGUGGGUCCCUGACCCCCGAGUAGCCUAACUGGGAGGCACCCCCCAGUAGGGGCAGACUGACACCUCACAUGGCCAGGUAAUCCUCUGAGACCAAACUUCCAAAGGAACGAUCAGGCAGCAACAUUUGCCGCUCACCAAUAUCCGCUGUUCUGCAGCCUCUGCUGCUGAUACCCAGGCAAACAGGGUCUGGAGUGGUGGACCUCUAGCAAACUCCAACAGACCUGCAGCUGAGGGUCCUGACUGUUAGAAGGAAAACUAACAAACAGAAAGGACAUCAACACCAAAACCCCGUCUGUACAUCACCAUCAUCAAAGACCAAAGGUAGAUAAAAUCGCAAAGAUGGGGAAAAAAUGGAGCAGAAAAACUGGAAGCUCUAAAAAUCAGAGUGCCUCUCUUCCUCCAAAGGAAUGCAGCUCCUCACCAGCAAUGGAGCAAAGCUGGACAGGGAAUGACUUUGACGAGUUGAGAGAAGAAGGCUUCAGACCAUCAAACUAUUCCGAGCUAAAGGAGGAAGAUCAAACCCAUGGCAAAGAAGUUAAAAACCUGAAAAAAAUUAGACGAAUGGCUAACUAGAAUAACCAAUGCAGAGAAGUCCUUAAAGGACCUGAUAGAGCUGAAAACCAAGACACAAGAACUAUGUGAUGAAUGCACAAGCCUCAGUAGCCGAUUUGAACAACUGGAAGAAAGGGUAUCAGUGAUGGAAGAUGAAAUGAAUGAAAUGAAGCGAGAAGAGAAGUUUAGAGAAAAAAGAAUAAAAAGAACAAAGACCCAAGAAAUAUGGGACUAUGUGAAAAGACCAAAUCUACGUCUGAUUGGUGUACCUGAAGGUGACGGGGAGAAUGGAACCAAGUUAGAAAACACUGCAGGAUAUUAUGCAGGAGAACUUCCCCAAUCGAGCAAGGCAGGCCAACAUUCAGAUUCAGGAAAUACAGAGAACACCACAAAGAUACUCCUCGAGAAGAGCAACUCCAAGACACAUAAUUGUCAGUUAAAAUGAAGGAAAAAAUGUUUAGGGCAGCCAGAGAGAAAGGUCGGGUUACCAACAAAGGGAAGCCCAUCAGACUAACAGCUGAUCUCUCAGCAGAAACUCUACAAGCCAGAAGAGAGUGGCGACCGAUAUUCAACAUUCUUAAAGAAAAGAAUUUUCAACCCAGAAUCUCAUAUCCAGCCAAACUAAGCUUCAUAAUGGAAGGAGAAAUAAAAUACUUAACAGACAAGCAAAUGCCGAGAGAUUUUGUCACCACCAGGCCUGCCCUACAAGAGCUCCUGAAGGAAGCACUAAACAUGGAAAGGAACAACUGGUACCAGCCACUGCAAAAACAUGACAAAUUGUAAAGACCAUCGAGGCUUGGAAGAAACUGCAUCAACUAACGAGCAAAACAACCAGCUAACAUCAUAAGGACAGGAUCAAAUUCACACAUAACAAUAUUAACCUUAAAUGUCAAUGGGCUAAAUUCUCUGAUUAAAAGACACAGACUGGCAAACUGGAUAAAGAGUCAAGACCCAUCAAUGUCCUCUAUUCAGGAAACCCAUCUCAUGUGCAGAGACACACAUAGGCUCCAAAUAAAGGGAUGGAGGAAGAUCUACCAAGCAAAUGGAAAACAAAAAAAGGCAGGUGUUGCAGUCCUAGUCUCUGAUAAAACAGACUUUAAACCAAUAAGGAACAAAAGAGACAAAGAAGGCCAUUACAUAAUGGUAAAGGGAUCAAUUCAACAAGAAGAGCUAACUAUCCUAAAUAUAUACGCACCCAAUACGGGAGCACCCAGAAUCAUAAAGCAAGUCCUUAGAGACCUACAAAGAGACUUAGACUCCCACACAAUAAUAAUGGGAGAUUUUAACACCCUACUGUCAAAAUUAGACAGAUCAAUGAGACAGAAAGUUAACAAGGAUAUCCAGGGAUUGAACUCAACUCUUCACCAAGCAGACCUAAUAGACAUCUACAGAACUCUCCACCCCCAAUCAACAGAAUAUACAUUCUUCUCAGCACCACACCACACUUAUUCCAAAAUUGACCACAUAUUUGGAAGUGAAGCACUCCUCAGCAAAUGUAAAACAACGGAAAUUAUAACAAACUGUCUCUCAGACCACAGCGCAAUCAAACUACAACUCAGGAUUCAGAAACUCACUCAAAACCACACAACUACAUGGAAACUGAACAACCUGCUCCUGAAUGACUACUGGGUACAUAACGAAAUGAAGGCAGAAAUAAAGUUCUUUGAAACCAAUGAGAACAAAGACACAACAUACCAGAAUCUCUGGGACACAUUCAAAGCAGUGUGUAGAGGGAAAUUUAUAGCACUAAAUGCCCACAAGAGAAAGCAGGAAAGAUCUAAAAUUGACACCCUAACAUCACAAUUAAAAGAACUAGAGAAGCAAAGAGCAAACACAUUCAAAAGCUGGCAG
rnacentral:lncRNA from 1 species